CGGGCCGAUGAUGACAAGGUUUCGGGAUUCUAAGUCGCAGACGAUGACUGAAUUUACAGAGAUCUGAGGUCCAC